rnacentral:rRNA from 1 species
GACGAACGCUGGCGGCGUGCUUAACACAUGCAAGUCGAACGGAAAGACCCUGCUUUUGUUGGGUGCUCGAGUGGCGAACGGGUGAGUAACACGUGAGUAACCUCCACUUGUCUUUGGGAUAACUUCAGGAAACUGGGGCUAAUACCGGAUAGGAGCUCCUGCUCCAUGGUGGGGGUUGGAAAGUUUCGGCGGUUGGGGAUGGACUAGCGGCUUAUCAGCUUGUUGGGGGGGUAGUGGCUUACAAAGGUUUUGACGGGUAGCCGGCCUAAGAGGGUGACCGGCCACAUUGGGACUGAGAGACGGCCCAGACGCCUACGGGAGGCAGCAGGGGGGAAUAUGGCACAAUGGGGGGAAGCCUGAUGCAGCAACGUCGCGUGCGGGAUGACGGCCUUCGGGUUGUAAACCGCUUUCGACUGAGACGAAGCGUGAGUGACGGUAAUGGGUAAAGAAGCACCGGCUAACUACGUG